GUCUACAGCCAUGCCACCCUGAACACGCCCGAUCUUGUCUGAUCUUGGAAGCUAAGCAGGGUUGGGCCUGGUUAGUACUUGGAUGGGAGACCACCUAGGGUCCUGUAAGCA
rnacentral:rRNA from 1 species